UGCAAAGGUAGCGUAAUCACUUGUCCUCUAAAUAGGGACCAGUAUGAAAGGCAUCACGAGGACUAAACUGUCUCCUUUUUCUAAUCAGUGAACCUAAUCUCCCCGUGAAAAAGCGAGGAUCCUCAUAUAAGACGAGAAGACCCUAUGGAGCUUAAAACAUAACAAUAUUUGGCAUUAUUAUUGUGUGUUUUUGGUUGGGGCGACCGCGGAGAAAAACCUAUCCUCCUCAAUGAACAAACAACAAGUUACAACUUUAAGUAUCAAAAAAUUGACAUCCUUGACCCAAUAAAUUGAUUAAUGAACCAAGUUACCCUAGGGAUAACAGCACAAUCCACUUUGAGAGCUCCUAUCGACAAGUGGGCUUAUGACCUCGAUGUUGGAUUAGGGUAUCCUAGUGGUGCAGCCGCUACUAAAGGUUCGUUUGUUCAACGAUUAAAACCCCACGUGAUCU
rnacentral:rRNA from 1 species